AUGACCUACGGUGCGCAGCAGUGAGGAAUAUUGGUCCAUUUUCUGGAGCCUGAACCAGCCAAGCCGCGUGAGGGAAGAAGGUACAGCGUAUCGUAAACCUCUUUUGUCAGGGAACAAAGGCGGGGACUAGUCCCCGGAUGAGGGUACCUGAAGAAAAAGCAUCGGCUAACUCCGUGCCAGCAGCCGCGGUAAUACGGAGGAUGCGAGCGUUAUCCGGAUUUAUUGGGUUUAAAGGGUGCGCAGGCGGCCUGUUAAGUCAGCGGUAAAAGCCCGGGGCUCAACCCCGGCGAGCCGUUGAAACUGGG
rnacentral:rRNA from 1 species